AUUGAACGCUGGCGGCAUGCCUUACACAUGCAAGUCGAACGGUAACAGGUCUUCGGAUGCUGACGAGUGGCGAACGGGUGAGUAAUACAUCGGAACGUGCCUAGUAGUGGGGGAUAACUACUCGAAAGAGUGGCCAAUACCGCAUGAGAUCUACGGAUGAAAGCAGGGGAUCGCAAGACCUUGUGCUACUAGAGCGGCCGAUGGCAGAUUAGGUAGUUGGUGGGAUAAAAGCUUACCAAGCCGACGAUCUGUAGCUGGUCUGAGAGGACGAUCAGCCACCCUGGGACUGAGCCACGGCCCAGACUCCUACGGGAGGCAGCAGUGGGGAAUUUUGAACAAUGGGCGAAAGCCUGAUCCAGCAAUGCCGCGUGCAGGAUGAAGGCCUUCGGGUUGUAAACUGCUUUUGUACGGAACGAAAAGCCCUGGGUUAAUACCCUGGGGUCAUGACGGUACCGUAAGAAUAAGCACCGGCUAACUACGUGCCAGCAGCCGCCGUAA
rnacentral:rRNA from 1 species